rnacentral:rRNA from 1 species
GACGAACGCUGGCGGCGUGCUUAACACAUGCAAGUCGAACGGAAAGGCCCCUUUGGGGGUACUCGAGUGGCGAACGGGUGAGUAACACGUGAGUAACCUGCCCUUGACUUCGGGAUAACUUCAGGAAACUGGGGCUAAUACCGGAUAGGAAUCCUUGCUGCAUGGUGGGGGUUGGAAAGCUUCGGCGGUUUUGGAUGGACUCGCGGCUUAUCAGCUUGUUGGUGGGGUAGUGGCUUACCAAGGCUUUGACGGGUAGCCGGCCUGAGAGGGCGACCGGCCACAUGGGGACGGAGUGAGGCCCGAGAUCCCGAGGGGGGGAGGAGGGGGGAAAAUUGGAAAAAGGGGCGGAGGCUGGAUGAAGCAAGGCGGCGGGGGGAAGGAGGCCUUUGGGGUUGAAACCCGUUUACAGGGGGGGGGAGGCUUGUGGUGAGGGUACCUGAAAAAGAAGCACCGGCAAACUACGUC